rnacentral:snoRNA from 1 species
GGCCUCCUGUUGCGUUCUUACUCUGGCUGUAUGGGAAGAGGAGGGAGAGAUGCCCCAGAUACACCUCAGCCCAGUCCCCGGGCCUGGUCUGUACUGUGAAUGGGAAGGCAUGG